GCUGGUAAGUCUAACAGCCCCCUCCCCAGCUCCUCUCUGGGUCCUUGAAUUCACCACCUCUUUCCUCCUCACAGCUUGAGACUGAAUUUCAUAGCCUCCAGACCAACCAGCAGGCUGCCAGCUCUGAAAACCAGCAGCUGAAACAAACCAACCAGGACCUGGAGACCCAGCUACACCAAAUCCACCAGCAGCUCCAAGAGACCCAAGAGCACCUGGGUGCUAUGAAAAGCAGGGUAUCCCAGCUGCAAAGUGAAGAAACAAGGGACAGACCACUGGCUGACAUGUCCUUUGAGAUUCCUUCGCCUUCCCAGGAAAUGCUGAAUAAGGAAAUGCCCCACUCUGAAAUGUGGAUCAGGCUUGGAUCCCAGCUCAGGCAUCAGGAACCAGAGGGCACCCCUCAG
rnacentral:lncRNA from 1 species